rnacentral:sRNA from 1 species
CUAAACAAUCAAGGAAGUGCAGUGGGCUGUGUGGUUCUUCCCAGCCUUCAUCCCUCCCUGGGCUGUGUCCUUUGCUGUGUGAUUUUGAGGUUCCUCCCUCUAAAGAUGAGUUAUGCUUUAAACCAUACAAACAGAAAACUAACAUUGGAACCUAAAAUUACUGUAAAUGCCAAGAUCAUUGUGGUUGGUGCAUCCAGUGUUGGAAUUUCCUUCCUAGAGACAUUGGUAUUUUGGUGAGUUGUUUUACUCUAUUGAUUGAUUGGUUUUUAAAUAAUAAAAAUUAUCUUCCUACAUCUGAAGAGAACACCAUCAGAGAACAGACCUGAGAUUGUUUGGUACUCCACACACCCUGCCUAUGUGGAUGGAUGAAUCAGUAGAAGAAUAUUCUAGAUUAGGGGUUAGCAAACUAUAGCCCUGAGGCCAGGCCUGGCUUGCCAACUGCUUUUGUAAAUAAAGCUUUAUUGGAACACA